UCAUUCACCCCUUUAGCUACACGAGCAGAUAGCAUUCAAGGUAUCAUCUUUGAAGCAGAAUGUGAACCCGAAGGAGACACCAGAUCUAUGGUGCCUUGAUCUUUGACUUCUCAACCUCCAGAACUCUCCAUGGUUCCAGGAAAUAUCCCAGGCAACUAGGACCAAGGAUGUCAUGAAAAUCACAACUAUCUCAAGAGGACUCUCCAGACAGAAGGAGGAAAAACAAUCUACACACUACAAUGAAUAUUUUAUCAUAAAGCAGAGUUGUCCCCUUAGAUCAUGACCUGACCUGCUUAGGAGAUGGACAACAAGUUUAACAAAAUAUAAAAAUGCAUUUAAAGGAAGUCAGAUCAGUUUUGGCAAGGUAUGAGUGAACAACAGUGGAAAUAAAUGGAUACUUGGAAGACAAAUAUACACUGGUGUGCUCAGCUGAUACGAUCACUGUGGCAUAUUUUUUCUCCACGUUCCCUGAAGUACUCCAUGAAGGGAGAGAGCAUAAUACUUCUUAGCUUUUUUCCCUUCAAAUGGCUUCUUCUGAGUCACUGAUAUAAAAUAAUAGGAUCAAAG